rfam:Dipodomys ordii contig_69385, whole genome shotgun sequence.
GGGAAUGUGUCUUAAUGGUAGAGUGCUUGCCUUGCAUGCAUGAAGCCCUGGGUUUGAUUCCUCAGUACCA